CGGUUAUUCCCUCCGUUCGAAAUUACUCGUCCAAGAAAUGAAUGUAUCUAGAUGUAUUUUAGUUGUAGAUACAUUCAUUUUUGUGACAAGUAAUUCCGAACGGAGGGAGUACAAU
rnacentral:pre_miRNA from 1 species